AUAUAAACAGGUUAAGUUAAACUUUCAACUUGUGGUGGUGGUGGGAUAUUAAAUGUAUCGAUAGAGACU
rnacentral:tRNA from 1 species